GUGAAUCCCUUCAGCUGGGUGAAACCAUUGUUGUAGAGUUUGCUUUAAAAUAAAAAUAAAAAAAUCAUAGAGAAAUACUGUUUUUCAUUUACACAUCACAAUAGGAGACAACUUAUAUCUACCCUAUGGGGGCCGACGGAUCACAGAUGGCAUUUUGCCUCACUUGUUGAUGUACAGUAUAGGUUCCAUAAGUGCUCAUCUCCAUGGUUGAUACCUGCAGCAGGCUCCCCCAGCGCAUAAAACUUUAAUUCUUCGUUCUACGGAUUUCAGUUACAUAGUCUGGUUCCCUUGUUGUACUUAUGGUGUAAUCAGGCUUAUGGAGGGAAGGGUGGGAAUAGGAUAUCACAUCUCCCUUUUCUUGCACAAUUGUUACAUGAGGCAACCUUGAAAUUAACCUGAACAGUGUUUUUUUGUUUGGUUCUGUUUGUUUGUUUUUUAGGGAUUGAAGUAGUCUUGAAGGUUAUUAUUUGGAGAAUGUGAAUGUGGCAAGAUGCUUUGGAG